rnacentral:rRNA from 1 species
CCUACGGGUGGCAGCAGUGAGGAAUAUUGGUCAAUGGGCGGAAGCCUGAACCAGCCAAGUCGCGUGAGGGAAUAAGGCCCUACGGGUCGUAAACCUCUUUUGCCGGGGAGCAAGGGCCGUUACGUGUCCCGUCCCGGAGGGUCCCCGCAGAUAAGGCAUCGGCUAACUCCUUGCCAGCAGCCGCGGUAUUCCGGAGGAUGCGAGCGUUAUCCGGAUUUAUUGGGUUUAAGGGGUGCGUAGGCGGGAUUUUAAGUCAGGGGUAAAAAUUCGGGGCUCAACCCCGACCGGCCGUUGAAACUGGGGGCCUAGAGAGGGCGAGAAGAAGGCGGAAUGCGUGGUGUAGCGGUGAAAUGCAGAGAUAUCACGCAGAACCCCGAUAGCGAAGGCAGCCUACCGGAGCGCGACUGACGCUGAGGCACGAGAGUGUGGGGAGCGAACAGGAUUAGAUACCCGGGUAGUC